rnacentral:rRNA from 1 species
AGUGAACGCUGGCGGUAGGCCUAACACAUGCAAGUCGAACGGCAGCACAGUAAGAGCUUGCUCUUACGGGUGGCGAGUGGCGGACGAGUGAGGAAUACAUCGGAAUCUACUUUUUCGUGGGGGAUAACGUAGGGAAACUUACGCUAAUACCGCAUACGUCCUACGGGUGAAAGCAGGGGAUCUUCGGACCUUGCGCGAUUGAAUGAGCCGAUGUCGGAUUAGCUAGUUGGCGGGGUAAAGGCCCACCAAGGCGACGAUCCGUAGCUGGUCUGAGAGGAUGAUCAGCCACACUGGAACUGAGACACGGUCCAGACUCCUACGGGAGGCAGCAGUGGGGAAUAUUGGACAAUGGGCGCAAGCCUGAUCCAGCCAUACCGCGUGGGUGAAGAAGGCCUUCGGGUUGUAAAGCCCUUUUGUUGGGAAAGAAAAGCAGCAGGUUAAUACCCCGCUGUUCUGACGGUACCCAAAGAAUAAGCACCGGCUAACUUCGUG